CGCUAGAGGCGGUUCGGCCUUUUGCGUGCGGAAAGCGUCUAGGCUGUGGGGAGUAAGCGGUCCUAUUUUGCAUAGAAAUAAUUUGGUCAGAAUUUAUUGGCGUGUUUAAAAUGCAGGGGUCUCAAAAUUCUUGCUUUAGUGGUUGGAGGCGGUCAGCUUUAAAAGUCUUUAGGUUCGAGGACUCGAAAGAACUUCUGCAUUUAUUAGGUCGCAUGACGGCCACGCGCAGGCCCGGACCCUGACCGGGCCCGCAUCUGUCCAGGGCGAGGUUUGUGCACCCAGUAACGCCCGGGCGGGAGAUCUGCAGUUCCACUGCCGAGGUCAUGUGGCUAUUUUGAGGCUACCCUGUAUUCGGCGCUAGAGCACCCUGAGAACCGCUACAAUUUGAUCAUGUGGAAGCGAAAGUUACUGCUGAUGAGAAACGAAAAACAGCAAGAUAAUCAAGAAAUCCAAAGUGAUAACGGGUGAAGUCUUAUGCAGCAUGUUACAGUGGGUCACAUAAAUCUCUUAGUGGGGAAGUGGGCAUUUUGAGUAAUAUGAAAACUACUGGGAAGGUAUUUUCAGUAUAUGCUUAAAUUAGCAUUUAAGGUAUUUCCUUGAUAUAAUUGAAUAAAAUGAUGUGAUGUGUGUGCAUAGA